rnacentral:lncRNA from 1 species
UGCUAUCUGAAGUUGACAUCAUGCUUCUUUCAUCAGUUGUGCGUUGUUGUUUCUUCUCUACACGAUCAUUUGUUACAACUUUGAAAAACAAACUGUAUUCUAUGUCUUUUUGGCUAGUGUUUUCGGGACUAGUAGUUUAUUGGAAAUUUAGUUUGUUCAUUUGCAUAACCUUUGCUAAAAAAAUGAUAUUAGGCGCCAAGUUUUGCCUUUUGCUUAUUAACAUAUUGUGAUAUCAUAUGGGUGUUGCAUCUGAUUUUACCAUUUUCCUUCUUUACAUGUAUAAUAAUUGCCAUUUUUGCUAGCAUAUUAUUUGUUUUUUUUUAAUCAUAGUUUGAUAGUAUAUUGUAUAUAUCCCAAACAAAGUUGAUGUUUGGCUAAAUUGCACUUUUUUCCUC